UACGAAGGGUGCAAGCGUUACUCGGAAUUACUGGGCGUAAAGCGUGCGUAGGUGGUUCGUUAAGUCUGAUGUGAAAGCCCUGGGCUCAACCUGGGAAUGGCAUUGGAAACUGGCGACCUAGAGUGCGGUAGAGGGCAGUGGAAUUCCCGGUGUAGCAGUGAAAUGCGUGGAGAUCGGGAGGAACAUCUGUGGCGAAGGCGACUGCCUGGACCAGCACUGACACUGAGGCACGAAAGCGUGGGGAGCAAACAGG
rnacentral:rRNA from 1 species